rnacentral:rRNA from 1 species
GGAGUCUAGCAUGUACGCGAGUCAUUGGGAUAUAACUAAACCUAAAGGCGCAAUGAAAGUGAAAGUCCGCCUUGAGCUGGACGGAGGGAAGAUGGGCGUCGGUCAUAAACCACCGCGUCCCGCAUUCCCGGGACGUCUCGUUCUCGGCUUGUCCGAGGAGAGGCGCACCAAGAGCGUACACGCUGGGACCCGAAAGAUGGUGAACUAUGCCUGGUCAGGACGAAGUCAGGGGAAACCCUGAUGGAGGUCCGUAGCGAUUCUGACGUGCAAAUCGAUCGUCGGAACUGGGUAUAGGGGCGAAAGACUAAUCGAACCAUCUAGUAGCUGGUUCCCUCCGAAGUUUCCCUCAGGAUAGCUUGCGCUCGUAACGAACGAGUCUCAUCCGGUAAAGCGAAUGAUUAGAGGCAUUGGGGCCGAAACGGCCUCAACCUAUUCUCAAACUUUAAAUGGGUGAGAUCUCCGGCUUGCUCGAACCGUUGAAGCCGCGAGAUACGGAUCAGAGUGCAAAGUGGGCCAUUUUUGGUAAGCAGAACUGGCGCUGUGGGAUGAACCAAACGUCGAGUUAAAGCGCCCAAAUCGACGCUUAUGGGACACCAUGAAAGGCGUUGGUAACUUAAGACAGCAGGACGGUGGCCAUGGAAGUC